rnacentral:rRNA from 1 species
CCUACGGGUGGCAGCAGUGGGGAAUAUUGCACAAUGGGGGAAACCCUGAUGCAGCGACGCCGCGUGAGUGAAGAAGUAAUUCGUUAUGUAAAGCUCUAUCAGCAGGGAAGAAAAUGACGGUACCUGAGUAAGAAGCCCCGGCUAACUACGUGCCAGCAGCCGCGGUAAUACGGGGGGUGCAAGCGUUGUCCGGAAUCAUUGGGCGUAAAGCGUUCGUAGGCGGCAAGGUAAGUCUGAUGUUAAAGCCCGGGGCUCAACUCCGGUUCGGCAUUGGAUACUAUCUAGCUAGAAUGUGGUAGAGGUAAAGGGAAUUCCUGGUGUAGCGGUGAAAUGCGUAGAUAUCAGGAGGAACAUCGGUGGCGAAAGCGCUUUACUGGACCAUUAUUGACGCUGAGGAACGAAAGCCAGGGGAGCAAAUGGGAUUAGAUACCCCGGUAGUC